rnacentral:rRNA from 1 species
UACGUAGGUGGCAAGCGUUGUCCGGAAUUAUUGGGCGUAAAGAGCGUGUAGGCGGCCCGGUAAGUCCGCUGUGAAAGUCCAGGGCUCAACCCUGGGAUGCCGGUGGAUACUGUCGGGCUCGAGUCCGGGAAGAGGAGUGUGGAAUUCCUGGUGUAGCGGUGAAAUGCGCAGAUAUCAGGAGGAACACCAAUGGCGAAGGCAGCACUCUGGGACGUGACUGACGCUGAGACGCGAAAGCGUGGGGAGGCAAACAGG